rnacentral:tRNA from 1 species
GGGUCGCUAGCUCAACUGGCAGAGCAUCGGACUCUUAAUCCGCAGGUUCCGGGUUCGAGUCCCGGGCGACCCACCA